UGGGGAAUUUUGGACAAUGGGCGAAAGCCUGAUCCAGCAAUGCCGCGUGUGUGAAGAAGGCCUUCGGGUUGUAAAGCACUUUUGUCCGGAAAGAAAUCCUUGGCUCUAAUACAGUCGGGGGAUGACGGUACCGGAAGAAUAAGCACCGGCUAACUACGUGCCAGCAGCCGCGGUAAUACGUAGGGUGCAAGCGUUAAUCGGAAUUACUGGGCGUAAAGCGUGCGCAGGCGGUUUGCUAAGACCGAUGUGAAAUCCCCGGGCUCAACCUGGGAACUGCAUUGGUGACUGGCAGGCUAGAGUAUGGCAGAGGGGGGUAGAAUUCCACGUGUAGCAGUGGAAUGCGUAGAGAUGUGGAGGAAUACCGAUGGCGAAGGCAGCCCCCUGGGCCAAUACUGACGCUCAUGCACGAAAGCGUGGGGAGCAAACAGGAUUAGAUACCCUGGUAGUCCACGCCCUAAACGAUGUCAACUAGUUGUUGGGGAUUCAUUUCCUUAGUAACGUAGCUAACGCGUGAAGUUGACCGCCUGGGGAGUACGGUCGCAAGAUUAAAACUU
rnacentral:rRNA from 1 species